rnacentral:tRNA from 2 species
GGACCGGGAGCCGCACGGGGCAGCAGGUGAAGACCUGCGGGGCGGGUCCGAUUCCCGCCCGGUUCA